rnacentral:rRNA from 1 species
UCCGUAGGUGGAUCAAUCAGUAAGAGGUGAAAUCCUGCAGCUUAACUGUAGAACUGCCUUUGAUACUGUUGAUCUUGAGUCAUUAUGAAGUGGUUAGAAUGUGUAGUGUAGCGGUGAAAUGCAUAGAUAUUACACAGAAUACCGAUUGCGAAGGCAGAUCACUAAUAAUGUACUGACACUGAGGGACGAAAGCGUGGGGAGCGAACAGGAUUAGAUACCCUGGUAGUCC